UCGAGCAUCAUCUUCAAAACAAAACCAAGCUUCUUAUCAUUAACGAAUCUACUCUUCUCACAAUUCCUUGUUUAGUUAUUUCUCAACUAUGGAUUCUUCCUCUGGUGCACCAGUUCGUGGGUAUCCGGCCCAGCAAGGCUACGCCAAAACGAUUAGGACCAGCAAUAUAAAAGGGACAAAAGAACAAGAGGGCGAUAAAUCAAACACGGAAGGUUCGAAGAAAAAAAAGAUACCAAUCACCAAAACGUGAGAAAGUCGAAAGAUGAGGAUGCAUGUUUUCUUAUGUGGUUAUUGUGGAUUUUCCAAAGUACCCUUUGUAUAAUAUUGAAUAAUUUGAAUCUACGUUGGAAGAAUCUUUCUUCCUCUAAUCUUUUCUGGAUCAUAUUUUUACUUAUUUUCUGCAACUUUUGUACCAAGUAUUUAUUGUAACUUUCCAUAUGUUCUCCUAUUUUCUUAAUGCUCUUCCUUUCUCUAUCUUCCAUUCCCC
rnacentral:sRNA from 1 species